rnacentral:rRNA from 1 species
ACUAGGGAUCGGGCGAUGUNAUUUUUUGACUCGCUCGGCACCUUACGAGAAAUCAAAGUUUUUGGGUUCUGGGGGGAGUAUGGUCGCAAGGCUGAAACUUAAAGAAAUUGACGGAAGGGNACCAACAGGAGUGGAGCCUGCGGCUUAAUUUGACUCAAAACGGGGAAACUCAACAGGUCCAGAAACAAUAAGGAUUGACAGAUUGAGAGCUCUUUCUUGAUUAUGUGG